rnacentral:lncRNA from 1 species
UUCAAUCUAUAGAUCUGUAAGCUCAAAUUGGCGUGAGCGCUCAAUUCCGGAUUUGGGGUUGAGAGGAUGGUGGUUCAAAUCCGCUCAGAUCUUAUAAUGCGUGUACCCUGUCCCUGUGUAUAAACUUGCGCUCAAUUCUGGCUUUUUUGGGGUUUGAGAGGAUGGUGGUUUAAAUCUCUGCUUAGAUCUUAUAACACUUGUACCCUGUACCUGUAUAUAAAUCUGCUCUCAAUUCCGGGUUUGGGGUUGAGAGGAUGGUGGUUCAAGUCCGCUCGGAUCUCAUAUAUAGUAUCCCUGUCCCUGUGUAUGAACUUGCGCUCAAUUCCGGGAUUGGGGUUGAGAGGAUGGUGGUUCGUUCAAAUACGCUUAGAUCUUAGU